GAUGAACGCUAGCGGCAGGCCUAAUACAUGCAAGACGAACGGUAAGUUGAGUAGCAAUACUUAGCCAAGAGUGUCGUACGGGUGCGUAACACGUAUGCAACCUACCCUAUACAGGAGGAUAGCCUAGGGAAACCUGGAUUAACCCUUCAUAGUAUUAUUGGAUGGCAUCAUUUGAUAAUUAAAACUGAGGUGGUAUAGGAUGGGCAUGCGUCUGAUUAGUUAGUUGGCGGGGUAAUGGCCCACCAAGACGAUGAUCAGUAGGGGUUCUGAGAGGAAGAUCCCCCCACACUGGCACUGAGAUACGGGCCAGACUCCUACGGGAGGCAGCAGUAGGGAAUAUUGGUCAAUGGAUGCAAGUCUGAACCAGCCAUGCCGCGUGCAGGAAGAAGGCCUUUCUGGGUUGUAAACUGCUUUUGCCAGGGGAUAAAAUUUCCAUGCGUGGAAAACUGAAGGUACCUGGUGAAUAAGCACGGCUAACUACGUGCCAGCAGCCGCGGUAU
rnacentral:rRNA from 1 species